AUUGAACGCUGGCGGCAGGCUUAACACAUGCAAGUCGAACGCGUGUAGCAAUACACGAGUGGCGCACGGGUGAGUAACGCGUGGAUAUCUGCCUUUUGGUUCGGAAUAACCCCGGGAAACUGGGGCUAAUACCGGAUGGUUCCUUCGGGAUAAAGAUUUAUCGCCAAAAGAUGAGUCCGCGUACGAUUAGCUAGUUGGUGAGGUAAUGGCUCACCAAGGCGACGAUCGUUAGCUGGUCUGAGAGGACGAUCAGCCACACUGGGACUGAGACACGGCCCAGACUCCUACGGGAGGCAGCAGUGGGGAAUAUUGGACAAUGGGGGCAACCCUGAUCCAGCCAUGCCGCGUGAGUGAUGAAGGCCUUCGGGUUGUAAAGCUCUUUUGGCGGGGACGAUGAUGACGGUACCCGCAGAAUAAGCCCCGGCUAACUUCGUGCCAGCAGCCGCAGUAAUAC
rnacentral:rRNA from 1 species